CUAUCUAACAGCCACCUGCUCUUCGCUCAUUACCAGUUCUGCGCAACUGGCCUCAGAGUACAGAGCCAGGAGAGCAACGCUUUCUUGCAAACGCUCCUUCAGGUCUAGAGUCCUUCCAGUCCCCACGUUGUUUUCUAACUUUUUCUCUAAAGUGAAACUCAGAACACUGAGGGGUAAAAAUGCACGUCUCUGAAGAACAGUCCCCUUUCUUGCCCUGGGACUCCCCCAGGGUGGGCUGUGGUCCAGAUCUUCUCUACGUGCUGUGUAUAUCAGGCAGGCUCCUCUCCUGCUAAUUAAAGGUGAUGUCGUGCUUGCUUUUCCUGAGGUCACCAACAGCAGGGGGCCAGGGACAAAAGAUUGAUGAAACUACUGCAAGGGAACCGCCCCUUCCGAAAGCAAGAUGAGGUCAUGGGAGGAUCAGGGAUACAAAGCAAAAAAGCUCUGCAAAAAUGAAUUCUGCUUUUCUUUCUUUUUUUUAAAGUGCUUUUUGAGAAUUUUAACAAUGCAUUCAGCAAGCUGGUGUGGAUGAGCUUAGAAUUAAGAGGUGGGCAUUUUUUUUUUUACUUUGGAGAUAAAUUCCAGACAACAUCACAUAAUUAAGCAGCCAUUUAGCGAUAAGGUCAUAAAUCCAUUCACUCAUUCAUUCGUUCAUUUAUUCAUUCAGGUAGUCAGUCAGUUAGUCAUAACCAGUAUCUAUUAAGCACCUGCCAUGUGCCUGGCACUGAGGGACACCAGGGGACACAAUAGUGUAGGGGACGAUAUAGACAUGAGCCCUACUAUUCCCAAGGGGGAGAUAAAACAAAACCAGACAAAUAUGCAGAAUGGCUACGACUUGUGUAAAGCGCCGUGCAGGAAAGAAACAAAGGGCUGAGACACAGGCUGACAGAGGGGGCUGCUUUAGGUAGAGCACUCACAGAAGUGGGGGAUUAACCGACAUGAGAAGGACCAAAAUGAGCUAUGAAUUCAAAGGAGACGGAUCUCAGCAAGGGAGAAGCAUGUGCAAGGUACACAGGCACGGGGCAAGCUAACUUGAGGACCUGAGGUAGAAGAAGCUGACGCUGAGUGAGCAACAAGAGGAGCAGCGGCAGCUGCUGAGACACACGGGAACCAAUUCUGCCAAGACCUUGUGGGGCCUUCCAGGAGCACGUGUGAGCUCUUAGGCCGCACUGAUUCCACACGAAAUCGUAUACUGGGAAGCUGGAAAUGUAGUUCGUUGGCCGGUCCUAGGAGAGCAUCCUACACUGACUUAUGAGGUGCCUCCACCAGCAACUCGUGGCGGCCGCGGUUCAUAAAGAUGUUACCACAAUGGCGGCAGAGUGGUUUCAGCCCAACAGACUGGCAAAAACAGGAGAAACGUACAUGCUAAACACUGAGCCAUGUUUCCACCGUAGAAACUGCAUUAAUGACCAUUUCUAAUACUGUAUCUCAUGUUAUAAUUUACGAUGUAUUUUAAGACAGUGCCUCUAAAACUUUCGUAUGCAUACAAAUUACCUUGGCAUUCUGUUAAAACAAAGAUUCUGAUUUAGUAGGUCCAGGGUGGGGCCAGAAAUUUUGAGACAUGCUGAGGCCAACAAUCUGAAAUGACAUUUGAACUAGCAGGACUAUAAUGUACCUUAUCUUUUUGCUUCUACACAGUCUUUAGGAAAGUUUAAUCAUCUUUAUUGUACAGAAGAAAUAACUAACCCUUAGAGAGUUUUAAAAUAUAUCUUGUCUAAACAAGGAACAGUCAAUAGGGCCUAGAAUGUAAACCACAGUUCACCAAUACUAGUUACAAUUAGAAAAAUCUGUGAGACUAUGCAGGUUUAAUCCUUAUUUAAUAAAAUUGUCAUUUGGCAAACAGGUAAAAGAAAGAACUAUUUAAAACAGAAGUGAUCAAUAUGUUUGCAUGAGGAUCAAUUCAGGAAAAACAACGUUUGAGACUAUUUAACACAGAUAUCUUUGUGUGUGUAUAAUUUUAUUCAUUUUUUAAUUGAGGUAUAACUUACAUACAUUAAAGUGCAUAAAUCUGAAGUGUUCAGUUUUAUUCAUUUUGAACUGAGGCAUAAUUUAUAGGCAUUAAAAUGCAUGGAUCUAACGUGUAACCACCACCCAGAACAAGAUAUAGAGCAUUUCCAUCAUCCUAGAAAGUUCCAUCAUGUCCAUUUCUAGUCAGUUCUUUGAUUUUUAUCAACAGUGAUAAAUUUUGUCUGUUCUUGAACUUCAUAUAACUGAAAUCGUAUAGUAUGUACAGUCACCUGGUAUCCACAGGUUGCACAUUAGCCGAUUCAACGAACCACAGAUAACGUACAGUACUAUUUUUAUGAUCUGUGGUUGACUGAAUCUGCAGAUGUGGAAUCUGUGGAUGGAGGACCAACUAUGAGACUUUGAAAAUCCACAGAUUUUGGUACCCAGGGCUGGUCUUGGACCCAAUCCCCCCUCAGAUAUCAAGGGAUGACUGUACUUCUUUGUGCCAGCUUCUUUCAUGCAAUGUAAUAUUUUAAGGUUCAUAACCUUAAAGUUUUUUUUAGGUUUUAUCAAGAACUAUCCCACCUCUCACUAUACAAUAUCUACAGUUUUCUUUCACCAUGAUUUCAUGAUUCUCCCACAGUGAGAGGUUUCCCAUUUCGGACUAUAAUUAUAGAAAUUACCCAUCUAGCAACCACUGAGCAUUUGAUUGUAAUAAUAAAG